AUAUUGAAUUUGAUUUGUAUGCGCCCGCAGGAAACGGAAGACGGUGAGAAUCCGUCGCAGGCGCGCUGCUGUAACCGGGUAAAUCAAGAAGGAUAUGGUGUCGGCCCACUGUUGGAAAAACGGGAAGGAGCGGCACUGUGCGUCGAACAGGCCCGGAAGCCAGAAGACGUCCUGCAGGAGCAAGUGUCGG
rnacentral:ncRNA from 2 species